GGUGGGAAGGUGGCCCUUCCUAGGUAAAUGGCAGUUCUCUGAGGAAAACAGCUCACAGGAACCAGCAUGGGUGGCCGUUCAUUGUCAACUAACAGAAACAGCACUGAGCUGGCAGUGUGACUGAGUGCAAUCAGAUACUGGGAAAACAAUGUCCCCGAGGAAUUGGGAUUUCCCUCUGGAGGAAUCUCAUGCUGGGAGAAGGAAAAGACUGAAGCCUGGUACCAGCCAGAAGAGAAAAGGGUUCUGACAACCUGUCAGACCAUCUUGCAGGAGAUGUUGGAGCCCAGACAAUGAUGGUGAAUCACACCUUGACCAAGACUGCUGAACUGUGUACAAUCCUUGCCCCUUCUUUAAACCUAAACCUCAUGUCAAGACCCUGAAGAUGGAUUUGGUGGCGGGACUGUCAGGGGAUCUCUGUUUCUCUUCCCAAUGUGGCCUCAUUGAAUAAAUCUCCUUUUCCUGCUUUC